CUCUGUUUCAAAAUCUUGUCCGUAGUUCCUUGCCUUUGGACAUACAAGAAUGCAAGAGAAAGAAAGGCAGAUUCAGGGAAGUUCCUGAGAACUUGUUCCCUAUAAGAACAAAAUCAACCAUCCCCUAUAG